GCAUGGCUGAAUACUGUGUUCUUUUAUUCGGUAGUUUACACAGCCAGACACCAUGCAAAAGUAAAGUCUUCCCUUUGAAAUGGCUAUGGUGGUAUGCCAGGUUUCUUCAUGGUAUAUCAUUACUAAAAGUGGAUACAAAU